rnacentral:rRNA from 1 species
AUUGAACGCUGGCGGCAGGCCUAACACAUGCAAGUCGAACGAGUGGCGGACGGGUGAGUAAUGUCUGGGAAACUGCCUGAUGGAGGGGGAUAACUACUGGAAACGGUAGCUAAUACCGCAUACCAUCAGAUGGGCCGAGAUGGGAGUAGCUAGGUGGUGGGGUAACGGAGCACCAAGGCGACGAUCCCUAGCGGGUCCGAGAGGAUGACCAGCAACACUGGAACUGAGACACGGUCCAGACUCCUACGUGAGGCAGCAGUGGGGAAUAUUGCGCAAUGGGCGCAAGCCUGAUGCAGCCACGCCGCGUGUAUGAAGAAGGCCUUCGGGUUGUAAAGUACUUUCGGCGGGGAGGCGGUACCCGAAGAGGAAGCACCGGCUAACUCCGUGCCAGCCGCCGCGGUAAUUC